rnacentral:rRNA from 1 species
GAUGAACGCUGGCGGCGUGCCUAAUACAUGCAAGUCGAGCGAACAGACGAGGAGCUUGCUCCUCUGACGUUAGCGGCGGACGGGUGAGUAACACGUGGAUAACCUACCUAUAAGACUGGGAUAACUUCGGGAAACCGGAGCUAAUACCGGAUAAUAUAUUGAACCGCAUGGUUCAAUAGUGAAAGACGGUUUUGCUGUCACUUAUAGAUGGAUCCGCGCCGCAUUAGCUAGUUGGUAAGGAAACGGCUUACCAAGGCAACGAUGCGUAGCCGACCUGAGAGGGUGAUCGGCCACACUGGAGCUGAGACACGGUCCAGACUCCUACGGGAGGCAGCAGUAGGGAAUCUUCCGCAAUGGGCGAAAGCCUGACGGAGCAACGCCGCGUGAGUGAUGAAGGUCUUCGGAUCGUAAAACUCUGUUAUUAGGGAAGAACAAAUGUGUAAGUAACUAUGCACGUCUUGACGGUACCUAAUCAGAAAGCCACGGCUAACUACGUG